UACAGAGGUGGCAAGCGUUGUUCGGAAUUACUGGGCGUAAAGGGCGCGUAGGCGGCCUUCUUAGUCAGACGUGAAAUCCCUAGGCUUAACCUAGGAACUGCGUCUGAUACUGGAAGGCUCGAGUUCGGGAGAGGAAUGUGGAAUUCCAGGUGUAGCGGUGAAAUGCGUAGAUAUCUGGAGGAACACCGGUGGCGAAGGCGGCAUUCUGGACCGAAACUGACGCUGAUGCGCGAAAGCCAGGGGAGCAAACGGG
rnacentral:rRNA from 1 species